CACCAGCAGCUCAAGUGGUGAUCACGUUUAUUGGGUUUAAAGGGUGCGUAGUCGGUUCAGCAAGUCUUUUGUGAAAUCCUACAGCUUAACUGUAGGGAUUGCAGAAAAUACUACUGGGCUAGAGGCCGGGUUAGGCGUGGGGUAUUCUAGGGGUAGCGGUGAAAUGCUAUAAUCCCUGGAGGACCACCAGUAGCGAAGGCGCCACGCUGGAACGGGCCUGACGAUGAGGCACGAGAGCUAGGGGAGCGAACAGGAUUAGAUACCCGUGUA
rnacentral:rRNA from 1 species